CCUAAAGUUUGCAAUACACGUAUAGAGCUAAUGCUUGUCUACUUUCAAAUAACACUCUACAACUUCAUGUGUAAUAUGAUGCUAUCUGAACUUUGCAGUGACAGAAACAUUUGAACCGCAAGUGGGAACAGUGCGCCUUAGAAAUGUUGAAGAGACUAAAUGUUUACAGUAGAGCUGAAUAUUUGCGAAGGCUCCAACUCCAACAAGAGUUGAGGCUUUCUGAAGGAAUUUUGCUGAACACUUCGGAUUCUGGCUAAAGGAAAGCCUUGGGAAACUAACUUACAACUGUACAUAUAGUGAGAGAACUCCAGAGAAACUUACCUUUGAAGGUACGUGUUUACCUUUUAAGAGAAAAUGAGGCCUGGGACCUUGGACACAUUUCUAAGUCAUAAAAGCCAGAGACGCUGGGGCUUAUUUGGCCAUUGAAAAGAUGGAUUUACAUUUCACAUGUUUGGAGCGAGAACUCAGAAUCUUUUCCAUCAAAUUUCUAAGGAGCACAAGUUUUCAUCUCUUGUUUCAAGAGGGUAGGGGGCACCAGCUGUCAUUUCCUCUUAUAUAUAAGCAGAGAAAUUUCAUUCCAACAAUCCCUUGCCUGUAGAGUGCCUGGGCAUUCACACAGAGAUUAUGCCAUCUGACUUUCAUCACAUCACCACAGGGGUAAGAUCUGUGGCAAUGGGUGGGUGACAUAGUUAUUGAGGUGUUCUGGAUCAG